UACAGAGGGGGCAAGCGUUGUUCGGAAUUACUGGGCGUAAAGGGCGCGUAGGCGGCCUUCUAAGUCGAACGUGAAAUCCCCGGGCUCAACCCGGGAACUGCGUCCGAGACUGGAAGGCUCGAAUCCGGGAGAGGAUGUGGAAUUCCGAGGUGUAGCGGUGAAAUGCGUAGAUAUCUGGAGGAACAUCGGUGGCGAAGGCGGCAUCCUGGACCGGUAUUGACGCUGAGGC
rnacentral:rRNA from 1 species